CCCUUAGAUGUUCUGGGCCGCACGCGCGCUACACUGAUGCAUUCAACGAGUCUAAAACCUGCUCUGAUAGGGGUGGGUAAUCUUUUGAAUGUGCAUCGUGAUUGGGAUAGAUGAUUGCAAUUUUUCAUCUUCAACGAGGAAUGCCUAGUAAACGCAAGUCAUCAGCUUGCAUUGAUUACGUCCCUGCCCUUUGUACACACCGCCCGUCGAUACUACCGAUUGAAUGGCUUAGUGAGGCCGUUGGAGAAUGCUCGCUAGAGCGUUUGAAAUUGGCCAAACUUGGUGAUUUAGAGGAAGUAAAAGUCGUAACA
rnacentral:rRNA from 1 species